rnacentral:rRNA from 1 species
UUGGGCCUAAAGCGUCCGUAGCCGGUUUAAUAAGUCUCUGGUGAAAUCCUGUAGCUUAACUGUGGGAAUUGCUGGAGAUACUAUAGACUGAGACCGGGAGAGGUUAGAGGUACUCCCAGGGUAGAGGUGAAAUUCUGUAAUCCUGGGAGGACCGCCUGUUGCGAAGGCGUCUAACUGGAACGGUUCUGACGGUGAGGGACGAAAGUUAGGGGCGCGAACCGGAUUAGAUACCCGGGUAGUCCUAACCGUAAACGAUGCGGACUUGGUGCUGGGGUGGCUUUGAGCUGCUCCAGUGCCGAAGGGAAGCUGUUAAGUCCGCCGCCUGGGAAGUACGGUCGCAAGACUGAAACUUAAAGGAAUUGGUGGGGGAGCACCACAACGCGUGGAGCCUGCGGUUUUAAAUUGGAUUCAACGCCGGACAUCUCACCAGAGGCGACAGCUGUAUGAUGGCCAAGCUGAUGACUUUGCUUGACUAGCUGAGAAGUGGUGCAUGG